UUUCAAAUUUCUAUCCGCGGUAUUAGUUUAAUUUAUAUUUAUGUAAUAAAUAAUAAUGUAAUAUUAAAUCACAACAAAAGGUGCAUCAACAAAAAUAAUAAGUUGGUUGUUUAGCCACGUACUAAUUAACUUAUUCCUGAUUUGUUGAAUGGAUAGAAUCACGCUUAUCUACUGACUAAACAGACAAGAAAGUUUAUCCAAAACAAAUGGAUGAUUACGAUUUGACUAUGAAAUAUUUUUGCAAUUAGUUCAACUUCAAAUGAAGACCAUUGGAAAAAAAACAAUUUUAUAUUUAACAUAUCAUUUUUAUAUUUAGUUAGAUCAUUUGUAUCAAAGGCUAUAUUGGAUAUUUGUUCAAUUUAAAAGUUUGUAGAAAUUAAUACCAAGUUUGAUUGUCAAUUAUUUUGAACUGAUUAAAUGGGUCUGCAGUAACCAUUCGACACACUUGAAAUAUAAAUACAAGUUAAAAAGAUUGCUGAUUUAGUGUUUCUUCUAUGAUAAAUUAACAUACAUCAUUAAUUAUAUGUAUUCAUUUCUGUAAUAUUCACACUUUUACAAAAAAUUAUAACCACUGUAAUAUGA